GACGAACGCUGGCGGCGUGCUUAACACAUGCAAGUCGAACGUGAUUUUUGUGGAAAUUCUUUCGGGAAUGGAAAUGAAAUGAAAGUGGCGAACGGGUGAGUAACACGUGAGCAACCUACCUUACACAGGGGGAUAGCCGUUGGAAACGACGAUUAAUACCGCAUGAGACCACAGAAUCGCAUGAUAUAGGGGUCAAAGAUUUAUCGGUGUAAGAAGGGCUCGCGUCUGAUUAGCUAGUUGGAAGGGUAAAGGCCUACCAAGGCGACGAUCAGUAGCCGGUUGGAGAGGAUGACCGGCCAAAUUGGAACGGGGACACGGCCCAACCCCCUACGGGAGCCAGCAGUGGGGAAAAUUGCACAUUGGGGGGAACCCUGUUGCACCGCCCCCGGGUGAGCGAAGAAGGUUUUCGAAUCUUAAAGCUCUGUCCAAUGAGAAGAUAAUGACGGUAUCAAAGGAGGAAGCCCCGGCUAAAUACGU
rnacentral:rRNA from 1 species